GACGAACGCUGGCGGCGUGCCUAAUACAUGCAAGUUGAGCGCUGAAGUGUGGUACUUGUACCUACGGCAUUAGCAGCGAACGGGUGAGUAACGCGUGGGUAAUCUGCCUAUGAGCGGGGGACAACAUCUGGAAACGAAUGCUAAUACCGCAUAAAAACUUUAAACACAAGUUUUAAUAUUGAAAGACGCAAUUGCAUCACUCAAAGAUUGUCUCGCGUCGUAUUAGCUAGUUGGUGAGGGAAAGGCUCACCAAGGCGAAGAUACAUAUCCGACCUGAGAGGGUGAUCGGCCCACAUGGGAACGAGACACGGGCCCAAACUCUUAGGGAGGCAGCCGGAGGGAAUCCUUGGGCAAUGAGGAAAGGCCGAACGGGGCAAGCCGCGUGAGGGGAUGAGGGUCUUGGAUUGUAAAACCCCGUUUAUAGGGAAGAAAGUUGGUGGUAGUGGACAGCGCACGAAGUGACGGUAACUACCCAGAAAGCGACGGCUAACUACGUG
rnacentral:rRNA from 1 species